CGCAGCGAAAUGCGAUAAGUAAUGUGAAUUGCAGAAUUCAGUGAAUCAUCGAAUCUUUGAACGCACAUUGCGCCCUCUGGUAUUCCGGAGGGCAUGCCUGUUCGAGCGUCAUUUCAACCCUCAAGCCUGGCUUGGUGAUGGGGCACUGCCUGUAAUAGGGCAGGCCCUGAAAUCUAGUGGCGAGCUCGCCAGGACCCCGAGCGUAGUAGUUAUAUCUCGCUCUGGAAGGCCCUGGCGGUGCCCUGCCGUUAAACCCCCAACUUCUGAAAAUUUGACCUCGGAUCAGGUAGGAAUACCCGCUGAACUUAAGCAUAUCAAUAAGCGGAGGA
rnacentral:rRNA from 1 species